GUGUACGGUCAUAUUACCCUGAAUGUGCCCAUCUCGUCUGAUCUCAGAAGCUAAGCAGGGUCGGGUCUGGUUAAUACUUGGAUGGGAGACAGAUCUUCAGAAGAGACUGCUCAGA
rnacentral:rRNA from 1 species